UAGCAUACCAAGGGAUUUCUAUUUCGACAUCACAAGCAUACCAAGGGAUUUCUAUUUCGACAUCACAAGCAUACCAAGGGAUUUCUAUUUCGACAUCAC